rfam:Geobacter uraniireducens Rf4, complete genome.
CUCCGAACGGGCAAAACCAGAGCAAUCUGGUGACGCAAAGCCACGGGUCCUGACCUAAAAGGAUAGCCGGGUUGCCGAAG